AGUGGGUGUAACGUACCUACUAGCCUACGACGGGUACGGGUUGUGAGAGCAAGAGCCCGGAGAUGGACUCUGAGACACGAAUCCAGGCCCUACGGGGUGCAGCAGGCGCGAAAACUUUACAAUGCGGGAAACCGUGAUAAGGGGAUCUCGAGUGCCAGCAUAUAAUGUUGGCUGUCCAGAUGCCUAAAAAGCAUCUGUUAGCAAGGGCCGGGCAAGACCGGUGCCAGCCGCCGCGGUAACACCGGCGGCCCGAGUGGUAACCGCUAUUAUUGGGUCUAAAGGGUCUGUAGCCGGCCAGGUAAGUCCCUUGAGAAAUCUGGCAGCUCAACUGUCAGGCUGCUAGGGGAUACUGUUUGGCUUGGGACCGGGAGAGGUGAGAGGUACCUUGGGGGUAGGGGUGAAAUCUUGUGAUCCUCGAGGGACCACCAGUGGCGAAGGCGUCUCACCAGAACGGGUCCGACGGUAAGGGACGAAAGCUAGGGGCACGAACCGGAUUAGAU
rnacentral:rRNA from 1 species